rnacentral:lncRNA from 1 species
GUUUAUUCUGAAACUUUGUAAAGAUAAUUUAAUUCAUUGUUCGGAGAAUAUCAUAAAACCAGCGUCUGCCGUAUUGCACCAAGUAGCGUACUCGGUGUUUACAUUUUGGCUAGCACCAAGCACAUUUGCUCGGUGCUGCACCAAGUGGAAUUACUUGGUGAAAAGUAUUUUUCUUUAAUAGAAAGCUUUUAGAUAUUUUAAUAUUAGUCUUUUAUGAUCAUUAUAAAAUUAUGAGGUUUAAAAUAUA